rnacentral:rRNA from 1 species
UGAUGACGAGACGCUAAGGCGUUGAAGCAGUGUAUGUCAGACUUCCAAGAAGAGCUCGCAAUGUCAUAAAUGAAAAAUGCCUGUACCAUAACCGACACAGGUGGGUAGGUAGAGUAUACUAAGGGGCGCGAGAUAACUCUCUCUAAGGAACUCGGCAAAAUGACUCCGUAACUUCGGGAGAAGGAGUGCCUUAUUUAUAAGGUUGCAAUAACAAGAUCCAAGCAACUGUUUAUCAAAAACACAGGUCUCCGCUAAGUCGUAAGACGAUGUAUGGGGGCUGACGCCUGCCCAGUGCCAGAAGGUUAAAGAAGUUGGUUAGUGUAUGCGAAGCUGAUGACUGAAGCCCUGGUGAACGGCGGCCGUAACGAUAACGGUCCUAAGGUAGCGAAAUUCCUUGUCGGGUAAGUUCCGACCCGCACGAAAGGCGUAAUGAUUUGGAUACUGUCUCGGAGAGAGGCUCGGUGAAAUAGACUUGUCUGUGAAGAUGCGGACUACCUGCACCAGGACAGAAAGACCCUAUGAAGCUUUACUGUAACUUGAAAUUGGAAUUGGACUUUGCUUGCGCAGUAUAGGUGGGAAGCGUUGAAGAUAUUCUUGCGGGAGUAUUGGAGCUAUCAGUGAGAUACCACUCUUGUAAUGUUAGAUUUCUAACUUUGAACCAUAAUCUGGUCAAAGAACAGUUUCAGGUGGGCAGUUUGACUGGGGCGGUCGCCUCCCAAAUGGUAACGGAGGCGUACAAAGGUUUCCUCUGAACGGAUAGAAAUCGUAUCUAGAGCGUAAAGGCAUAAGGAAGCUUGACUGUGAGACCUACAAGUCGAGCAGGGACGAAAGUCGGUCUUAGUGAUCUGACGGUACUGAGUGGAAAGGCCGUCACUCAACGGAUAAAAGUUACUCUAAGGAUAACAGGCUGAUCUCCCCCAAGAGUUCACAUCGACGGUGAGGUUUGGCACCUCGAUGUCGGCUCAUCGCAUCCUGGGGCGGUAGUACGUCCCAAGGGUUGGGCUGUUCGCCCAUGAAAGCGGUACGCGAGCUGGGUUCAGAACGUCGUGAGACAGUUCGGUCCAUAUCCGGUGUAGGCGCUAGAAUAUUGAGAGGAGCCUUCUUUAGUACGAGAGGACCGAGAAGGACACACCGCUGGUGUACCAGUUAUCGUGCCAACGGUAAACGCUGGGUAGCUAUGUGUGGAGUGGAUAACCGCUGAAAGCAUCUAAGUGGGAAGCCCACCUCAAGAUGAGUAUUCUCAUCACUAUAAGUGAGUAAGGUCACGGUAAGACUAACCGUUUGAUAGGCAUUAAGUGUAAAUGUAGUAAUGCAUGUGCUGAGAUGUCCUAACAGACCGAGGACUUGA